rnacentral:misc_RNA from 1 species
GGCAAUUCAACACGGAGAUAUUGUACCCAUAUCCUCAUGAAUGGCUGGUGAAAAAUUACUCAAUAACCAGUACUUCAGCUGGAUGACAAUUUUGACAUGCAGAUAGAUUCUUGAGCAUUGAUAAGUGAACAAUCAUGAGCGUCUGCAGCAAAUGUAUAUCGGAGCAACCACUUGAAUGCUAUCAGUUUCGAGCUUGUAAUGUUGAGCUACAUGCUGUAGUAUCUUAAAGAGACCAGUUAUCUCUGCCCUUUCCUCCCUAUUCCGUUUUCCUGUUCUGCUGCUAUAUCAGUAGAUAUUUAUUUGUACAGUUGCGUAGAGCUAGUCACGGUAUAGUCUUCUGGCUAUGAAGUCAGAAGCAGCAAAAUUGUGGCAAUAUGGAAAAAAAUUACAACAGAUGGGUAAGUUUCAAGUUCCCCUAUCCAAUUCUUUCGACCGAGAGUUUCUUAAUCCAAGUUGAUGUCUGGAAUGGAGUAUUGUUAUUCAACUGGCAGCUUUCCUAAUAGACUUGUGCAUAUGUUAUAUGACUCUCUUUCACAUAAACCACAUUUCAU